rnacentral:lncRNA from 1 species
CUGAUUAUUCCCUCAGCACACAGCAUUAAGGAGAAAUAACAUAGACUGUUCAGUCUGAAGGUACCUGGUAUAGAGGGACAUGUCUUAUAGUAGAUUCUCUCCUUGUGGUGAACUAGCAUGUUAAAAAAGUAGCUCAGUGCAUUAUUGGUCUAGUUCUGUACAAAAUAGGUUAAUUACAUUGUAUUUAUAUCUGAGUAUCAUGUCCUCUUCCUGCACUCAACUUGCCACUGGAUCACAUAACAUCCAUCCAACCAUCCAUCUUCUCAAAAGUAAUAUACCGAGUUCCAAUGUUCAAUUCUUGUUCAAUAUGUUCUGAUUUGACUCAAGCAAGAUACAAAUACAUGUAAUAUGGUAUUGUCAAAUAGAAAUAUUAAUAAGAUCUUACUAAAACAUAAACCUUAUAAAAUAAC